rnacentral:tRNA from 1 species
GGAGAAGUACCCAAGUUGGUGAAGGGGCGUGCCUGCUAAGUAUGUAGGGUGGAGCAAUCCGCCGCGAGAGUUCGAGUCUCUCCUUCUCCG